CAUUAUUUCUGGACAGUCAGACGCUUGAUGGCUUUCUUUCCUUUUAAUGCCUUAUUAAAUUUUCCACAUUUCUGUUCUAAUCAUGCAGUGCCUGUGUAAUCAGUGGAAAUAGUAUGUACUGUAAGAAUUAGCUUUUUAUUAGAUUUUAAGAUCUGAACAAAGAUGAAAUGCAGUUUAGAUUUCACCUGGCCCCAGCAUGGGCUGCUUUAUUGUCACCCAAGUGAAGUCCUAAAGCGAAACCAGAGUCUGGAUGUGACCGGCACUAACCUGCUCCUCAGAGGCGACCAGCCCAUGAUGGCGGAUUUCAUCACAAGGCGACUUGGCACUGAGCUACCAUUUGCUGGUCACAUCGGGCAAUCAUGUUGCUCUUACUACGCAGAAAUCCAAAUCUUUGUCCAAACUCAACCUCUUGAUUAACUUUCAUUUAAGUAGAUGUUUAUUUUUGAAAGGGUGAGUUUUCCUUCUUUUUUUUUUUUUCUUUCUUUGCAGCUGUCUUGGCGCUGUCUCAUUCCAGCUUGCAGAGGAAGCUUCUGAGUCAGAAAUGGGGUCAAGCCGUGUUUCUGGUGACGUUCCCAGAGCUCUGAGAAAGACGGACUCUCCUGGGACUUGAUGCCUGCUUCUGCAAACAGCUUGCAGAGAGCCACGAGAGAAGUGCAUCAGGAUUCUGCCAAAGCACUGGUGUAGCCCACCCUUGACCGUAUUUGAAAGACCCUUAGCACCCUCCAUAAACGAACAUUUCCAGAAAGCCUUGCUCAUGGGAAGAGGAAGCAUAAAAGACCGAGAAGGAAGCAGCCUGGGUUUGUGCUGAUGCCAGGUAGCGGCCUGCAUCCCGGGAAGCGUGGCCCUGCUUUCAAAUGGGCUGCGUGUCAUAGAAGUGGAAGCCAGCUCUCAGAACAAGAGGCCACUGGAUCACGAAGCAGCUGUCUGGCAGCCCUUUUUCCUAUGCAGCAGCCGUCCCUGAGUUGUGACUGUCACCGCUCAGCAGUUUCUCAAGGCCUCGUUUAUUUGGCGCAAGAGACAGAGCAGUCCUGGCUCGGCUUGUCUCAGAAGGAGCGGAAUUUUCUGCAGAAGACAAGACAAUGGUAAAAGGAUGCCUGGAGCAGACACAUAGUUCCUGGGGGACCAGAAUAAAGGGGUGAGUGGCAGUGAGGGUUAGGGUAACAGGGUUGUGAUGGUUCGUGCUCUACCCCAUGCUGGGAUUAUUGGGUAUUCUCUGAGGUCUAGGGAGGUGAAUGGCAG
rnacentral:lncRNA from 1 species